AGUGAACGCUGGCGGUAGGCCUAACACAUGCAAGUCGAACGGCAGCACAGUAAGAGCUUGCUCUUACGGGUGGCGAGUGGCGGACGGGUGAGGAAUACAUCGGAAUCUACUUUUUCGUGGGGGAUAACGUAGGGAAAUUUACGCUAAUACCGCAUACGACCUACGGGUGAAAGCAGGGGAUCUUCGGACCUUGCGCGAUUGAAUGAGCCGAUGUCGGAUUAGCUAGUUGGCGGGGUAAAGGCCCACCAAGGCGACGAUCCGUAGCUGGUCUGAGAGGAUGACCAGCCACACUGGAACUGAGACACGGUCCAGACUCCUACGGGAGGCAGCAGUGGGGAAUAUUGGACAAUGGGCGCAAGCCUGAUCCAGCCAUACCGCGUGGGUGAAGAAGGCCUUCGGGUUGUAAAGCCCUUUUGUUGGGAAAGAAAAGCAGCAGGUUAAUACCCCGCUGUUCUGACGGUACCCAAAGAAUAAGCACCGGCUAACUUCGUG
rnacentral:rRNA from 1 species